GUACUUACAUGGAUGGGCCGAUGGUGGGUCAAGAAGGCCAUGGCAUAGGUUAGCGACCUCCAUUGCACUCUGGAGGGGCGCUUGCCUAAGGUCAGCCUAUAGCGGGCGAACCUACGUCAUGGUUGGUGGGUUUGCUGCGCAGAGAUAUGUGUUCCACGGAUCCUUU